ACAUUUACUUGGUCACAAGGGUGAUUUUCACAAAGGCGAGGCUUAUCCAUUGCACUCUAGAUGUGCUGACCCCUGCAAUUUUCCCAAAUGUGGAAAACUCGAAUGCAUAAUUUGUGAUAGUGGGGGAGUGGGUUCGCACUCUCCCCUG
rnacentral:snRNA from 1 species